rnacentral:tRNA from 1 species
GCCUAGUUAGCUUAGUUGGUAUAGUGUGUCUGCCUUGUAAGCACUAGGCCGCGGGUUUGAUUCCCAUCUGGGGCA